CUGAAGAGUUAGGAGGAUUCGGAGGUCCUUUGUAAUUGUUCAGUUAAGUUAAAAGAACUGGAGCUGGCCCAAAAAUCCCCGCUGCCAAGAUUCAGGGUGAAAAAACUUGUUUAGAGGCAACAAAAUGAGGCAUUUUGAAAGAUGGAGAUUCUUCUAGCUGGUUAUUAGACUAUCUUGAAAUAUCUUUGGGACAGAUCUUGAAAUGCAGGAGGGCUGUCUGCAUUGCUGAGGUUGGGAAUCUGUACCCAGUCCAUACUCUCCCUCCACUUCUGGGGCACUGAAUGAUGGCUCUCAAGAUACCAAGGAGUUCAGAAUAAGUCUGAAAGUUCUUAGCCUUGGUCUUUCUCUGAGCUUUUUGCUGUCCUACCACUCAAAAAACAAACUUAGUUUGAAGAGAUUAGAGAAUAUGCAUACACCCUGCCCCUACUCAAAGGGCUUCUAAUCUAGCACUUUAAAGCACACAAUCAGGUGUCCUGCCAUUGGAGAUUUCUCCUUCAGAGAACAGCAGUGGGGUAAUAGCAUCUGUUGGGGAGUUGCCUGACACUUUAAGAUCAUUUGCAGCACUUAUCUUGCAUCAGAACCUUUUGGGAGGCCCUGAAGUCUGGAAAUGAGUCUGUCUUCAGCUUCAAAGGAUGAAAUCUUCAGUUGCAGUUAGCUCUGUACCAAAAACUGCUUCUUUCAAAAGCUCUGGCUGCUUUUUUAAGACACCCCACAAUCUACAAGUUUGUCAAUGCAUCUGUCCAAUAAUAGACCACUGAACAUGUAACUUGGAGGGUUGAGGGCCAGGGAAGUUUGUUACCAAAACCACUGGUGCAAGUUUGUUUUUGGGGAGGGGGAAAGUCCCAAACUUAAUUUUUUUUUAUUUUUUUUUAAACAAUAAACAAUUUUAAACAAUUUUUAAAAUAUAUCUAAGGGACAAAACAAGUGAGUUUUUUGCCUUCUCUCCUCUUUUUACAAACAAAAAAACCCAACCCAAACUAAUCAGACUUUCGUAUGCCUCAACUUCACAUGGCUUCUGUUUAUUUUAGAAAAGAAGCCAUAUGAAUGCAAGACCAAACACCUUCCACUACAUGUGGAGUUUUAGAUUUGGUUUUAAAAUGAAAACUGGCACUUGUGCACUGUGUGAGACUGACUCCUGUGGAUAACUUUUCUCUGCAGAACUGGUACAUCACAAGUUGGUACGCUCCCCUGUGCUGGUCUGCUAAUGUGUCACAGUUUCUGUUCUGGAGAACUACUGAUAACCAUGCCACAGUAGCUAAGGCUCUUUCUCUGUUCAAUUCUAACCCUUUUUGAGACUUGGGGCUUUAGCCGUGGUGUGGACAACUGGAUGGAAGUCUAACUCAUUUCAUGGUGGCUAACCAAAUAGCCAUUUUAUUAUAUCAAUUCUUGGAUACUACCAAGCUGACCUGGAUUUAAAUUGCUGACUAAAUAGAAAUAAAAAAUUGCCCUCGGUAUAAUCUCCUGAGUAAUCUAGAUUCCUUCCAUUUCCUUUACCCCAUUUUCUCAAUAGGGGUCUUGGAUAAUAUCUGUAUUUGGAUUUUAAGAUAUAUUUAGGGCAAAGAGAAUGUUAUGUCCAUUCAUUUAGGGCCACGUACGCUGUCACCUCUUUAAAAAUAACUUUUUACAAACUGUGUCCUGCAUGUUGUGUGAUAUAACUCACUCACUUCGAUGCAACAUAGAAUUAUUUUAAAGCAGUAGUUCUCAAACUUUUCACAGUACUGUACCCCUUUCAGGAGGCUGAUUUGUCUUGCAUGCCAUAAGUUACACUUCACUUGCAAACUUGCUUACAAAAUCAGCCAAAAAAAUACAAAGGUGUUUUAGCACAAUAUUACUGGAAAAUUACUUACUUUCUCAUUUUUAAUUACUUCUCCAUAAUUGUAAAAUAAAUCAAGGAACCCCUUCCCUCCCACCCCCCCGGUUGAGAAAUACUAAUAUAGUAUAUAGAGCAGUAUAAACAAGUUAUGACUGUAUGAAAUUUUAGUUUGUACUGACUUUGCUAGUGCUUUUCAUGUUGCCUGUUGUAAAACUAGGCUAAUAUCUAGAGGAGUUGUUGAUAUACCCCCUGGAAGAUCUCUGUCCCCCAGUGGUACGCAUAUCCCUGGUUCAGAGCCACUGCUCUAAAGAAAUUAGUGACUUUUUUUAUUUAGUUACAUAUAGCAUCUUUCAUCUAAAUAGAUCUUGCAUUUAAAGUUAAGGAUGAAACUUAAUUUUUUACUCUUCCUGUUGUGGCUAGAGGUAGAGCAGAUAAGGAUCUGAGAACAUGGUUACUGCUUAUAAAAAUAUUUGUUCUUUUCUCCAAAGUGCUCUACAAACAGAUACCCAAAUUAGACAUACAGCAUUGAAAGCAGCAAGAAGUGAAGAAUAUUUCAUUGAACCUUGCAGUAAGGACUGACUUAGGGCAGAGGCUUGAGUGUUAAGUUGCGUUUAAGAUUUUAAUUAUUUCUUGCCUUAGUCCUUAUCACCAAGGUUUCCUGGUCCUUACAGUUCUUCUCCCAGAGCUUAAUGGUCCGCUUCAGCUGAGUCUUUCUGCCACAGUCAGCACUUGCAGCUAUCUCCCACUCUGGCCUUCUAACUGAUAGCUGCAGAGAUUCCCUCCCGCCCCCCACACUUUUCAGGUACUCCCUUGCCUAAAGAGACAGGAAGCCUUCCAUGUAAAUUCCUGUAGAACACAUGACGAGGAGCAGACAUGUGGCUUACAACCACAGUUUGGAGUGUCAAAGGGCAGUAACGGGCGCAUGGGACACAAGCAGGCCUUCCUUCCAAGGCCCAGUGCUCUGUUAGGUGGGCAUUAGCAAAACUAACAAGAAUUGAGUUAGUUUUACUCUGCUGCUGUUCAGGUAAGUUCUGAGCAGCAUCAAAGGAAGGGAUUGGCACUAUGCAGUGGAGAGGACUCAAAACUGAGGCUUGGGUAAGGGGUGGAAUGACACUUGCACAUGUACACACCUGCCUCCUUGCAGCAGCUGGGUAACUGAGGGAGUGAACUAUAAAUAUUGAAGAGAUGUUCUGUACUCCCCAUUGCAGCAGCCAGGAGUCUCUGGGAUGCAGAGGACAAGACACAAUGUCCCUUCUCUCUUCCAACACUGGGGGAGGGAUUGGGACCUUGCAACUAUCAUUCUUCAACUAGCAAGUGUCUGUCUGUUAAAGAGACAGAAGGGUUCCGUGCAGCAACCUGAUAGGAAUCUGAGCCAGUUUCCAGCAGUAAGGAAGAAGUGACAGAAGAAAGUAGAGUUAGAAUUAUAAGGUAGGAAGUAGAGAAACCGGGGUAGAAGAAAAGUGUGUUUUUACAAUAUAUAAUAUGGGUGUGGAGGAAAAGUGUAGAGGAAGGCAUAAAAGAGGCACGAUCUGUAUAUGAAUGUAAAUGGAGGGAAAGGAAGUACAAGAAAAGUGAGAAAUAUAGUGAGUCGCUUUUGUGAAACUUCUCUAAGUUGGUUGAUUAUACAGUUUUAAAAGUCCCCAGUUAAUGGUACACAGCUGUCAUCUUUCUAGUUCUUGGGUGGGCACUGAGCAGGGAGCAAGAAGGUGGUGGCACUGGUAUCUCUCACUGCAUGUUUUUCUAGCCCUGGGUAAGGCAGGUUGGGGAGGAGUUGCAGAGCACCACAAGAGCAGCUCCUUGUGCUCUCCCUGCAGCUCCUUCAUUCACCACCAUGCUUUUUUUUUUUUUUUUUUUUCCACCAAAUGCAUCCGAUGAAGUGAGCUGUAGCUCACGAAAGCUUAUGCUCUAAUAAAUUUGUUAGUCUCUAUUUUAUUUAUUUAUGAUGCAUAGAUUUAAUUAAUACUAGCACAAUAGGAUCUACUUGCUAAUGAGAAAUGUAAUUUGCCUCUGAGAGGAAAAGUGAUGAUCAGACCCUGCAGUUGAUGUUUGCCAGAUCACUAAUAAAAUGACGAAUAAACUGUCCUUUCUUUUUCUUUUCUUUUUCUUUUUUUUUUUUUUUUUUGGUCUCUCUAUAUUACUACAUAACAGGCUGGAUGGAAGGAAAAUCAUGCAACAUUCAUGAAUGAACUGAAAAACCUGCAAGCUUCAGGAUUGACUACCCUUGGGCAGGCUCUCAGAUCCUCUUUUGACUUGUUAAAUCUCAAUAGAUUAGUAUCUGGAAUAGACAAUUAUGGACAGGGGAGGAACCCGUUCUUUUUAGAGCCAUCUAUUUUAAUUACCAUCACGGAUGGAAACAAAUUGACACAUACUGCUGGUGUUCAAGAGGAGCUUCAUCUUCCUUUGAAUUCUCCUCUACCUGGAAGUGAACUAACCAAAGAACCAUUUCGUUGGGAUCAAAGGCUAUUUGCCCUAGUGCUGCGUUUGCCAGGAGCGUCUUCUGUUGAACCAGAGCAACUAGGGAGCGUACCCACUGAUGAAUCUGCAAUCACACAGAUGUGUGAAGUGACAGGAGGUCGCUCCUAUUGUGUGCGGACACAAAGAAUGUUGAACCAGUGUUUAGAAUCUCUAGUUCAAAAAGUUCAGAGUGGUGUUGUUAUUAACUUUGAAAAAUCAGGACCAGACCCAGCUCCCAUUGGAGAAGAUGGACUUGUUGAUUCACCCAGGCCCAUCAAUUCAUUUGCUUCUCAACCGUGGCAUAGUUGUCAUAAACUCAUUUAUGUGCGACCUAACCCUAAAACUGGUGUUCCUGUUGGGCAUUGGCCAAUUCCAGAGUCAUUUUGGCCUGAUCAGAAUUCACCAACACUGCCGCCACGCACAGCUCAUCCUGUUGUGAGGUUCUCCUGUGUAGAUUGUGAGCCAAUGGUAAUAGACAAGCUUCCUUUUGACAAAUAUGAACUUGAACCUUCACCCUUAACGCAGUACAUCUUGGAACGAAAGUCUCCCCAUGCCUGCUGGCAGGUAUUUGUGAGUAACAGUGGAAAAUACAGUGAACUUGGCCAUCCAUUUGGGUAUUUAAAAGCAAGCACUACUUUAACCUGUGUAAACCUCUUUGUGAUGCCUUACAACUAUCCUGCUUUACUUCCUCUGUUAGAUGACUUGUUUAAGGUUCACAAACUUAAGCCAAAUCUGAAGUGGCGACAGGCUUUUGACAGCUAUUUAAAAACAAUGCCUCCUUACUACUUAUUGCCAUUAAAGAAAGCCCUAAGGAUGAUGGGAGCUCCAAAUCUGAUAUCAGAUAAUUUAGAUUGUGGACUUAGUUACAGUGUUAUCUCUUACCUUAAAAAACUCAGCCAACAGACAAAAAUUGAGUCGGAGAGGAUAAUAGGUUCGGUGGGUAAGAAAGUUCCACAAGAGACUGGAAUUAAAGUGAAAAAUCACUCUAGUGGCCUCUCCCUGGUUCAUAGCAGGGAUUUUAAGCAGCUGCUACAAGGGAUCACUGGUGACUCUCCAUUGAGACUGGCUGAAAUGAAUGUUAAAGAAUUUGCUGGCUUCCAUAUAGGACUCUUAAACAAGGAUUUGAAGCCACAGGCAUUCAGAAAUGCUUAUGAUAUUCCUCGUCGCAGUCUUUUAGAUCAGCUAACUAGAAUGAGAACCAAUCUGCUGAAAACACACAAGCUUAUCCUUGGACAGGAUGAAGACUGCCUUCACAGCGUUCCUGUUGCUCAAAUGGGAAAUUACCAGGAAUACCUGAAGAUGAUGCCUUCUCCCCUUCGGGAGAUUGAUCCAGACCAACCGAAAAGGCUUCAUACAUUUGGCAAUCCUUUCAAACAGGAUAAGAAGGGUAUGAUGAUUGAUGAAGCAGAUGAAUUUGUUGCUGGGCCUCAGAACAAAAUUAAGCGUCCAGGAGACCCCAACACUCCAGCAUCACUAAAGAGAAGACGCAGUAUGUCGCCACUGUUGAGAAGACCACAGUCACCACCUGUUAUAACUAAUCAUGUUGGCGGGAAAGGAUCACCCUCUGCUUCAGGAUCACCGUCUUAUCCUAAUCUCAGAGCCAUCCCAGGUUACAAAGAUGCCAACAGCAGUGUAGUUCAAGAUGCUAAUGGAGGGAAGAAGGCUGAAAAUUGUCAGUCGCUAGACAAACAAAUUGACGGAUUGUCUACACAAAUGGUUCCAUCAAUCCCUGCUGCUAUGGUAGAUGAUCUGCUACCGAAUGACUUGGACUCUUUGCCUGAUGAAUUCAAUUGCUUAAGUGAAGAUGGACUGGAUCAUAAAUCUGCCACCAAUGCACUUGUUAGAGGACCUCUAAAUUACAGCAUGCCUGUUGAUGACCAAAAAAUGGUAGUGGAGUCCACUUCUGGGACUGUGCCAAACUCAUUGCAAAUAACACAUACUAUGUUGGAAGGAAACAAUGCUGAUAUCAAAAUAAAAGUGAUGAAGGAGGUUCGCAAGCCUGGAAGAAAUUAUGAAAAAAUCUUCACUCUUCUUGAGGAAGUGCAAGGACCUAUGGAAAUUCAGAAAUAUUUCAUUGAAUUUGCUAUCAAGGAAGCAGCAAGGUUUAAAAAACGGGUCUUAAUACAACACUUAGAGAGAAUACUAGAGGAAAUAGAGUUCAGCAGUCUACCCAACAGAGUUAAUCAUGUCAACAGUAGAUAACAGUGUACCGGCAAAAGACACACGGAUCAGGGAUGAGUUUGCUGUGCCACAGAAGAAUGAAGGAAGACGUGGCUGCUGCCCUCACCAUCUUGGCAGUCAAGUGAUUUUACUGUCAGAGUCUAAGAAGAAGCAGUGGAGCUUUAACUUUAAGAACCUCUGUCAGCAGAAGCUGGGCUAUAACCUUAAGGAUUUGCUAUGAAAGGUGUGGCUUUUUUCCUGUGGAGGGUGCUAUUCGCUCAACAGGCUGAAGAAAAUAACCAUUGCUGCCCCUCCUGCAGACAUUAUGAAAGUGCACCUGAGGCUUCCCAGGUCCCCGACUUCAGUUCUCUUUCAUCCUGUGAGGAGGACGGAGAUUCUUCAGGUGGCCUUGGCACACGCUGUGCUUUGGAAGCACUAAAAGGAAACGCUUUUAAAACAUGUAUUUUAAUGUUCAUACAAAAGAGAUUAUUUUGAACAGUAUUGUUACCAGAUCACUAAUUUGAUAUUUUAAUUGUACAAAAAGAAUUUUUGGAACACGUGUGUGUGUAUAUAUAUAAAAUAAACCAUUUAUUAAUUUUUAA